UUAUGCAUAAACUAUGAAAAGGGUGAAUAAACAAUUGUCUGUAUUUUUUUUAAUCUAUUGAAAAUGUUGAAAAAUGCAUUAAGCAUUAAUAGAAAUUCCUCAAAUAUUAAUUAUGCGUGCGUUCAGAAAUAAUGACAAAUUAUCAACAGUUACGCGUGUGUUCAGAAAUUUAUUUUGUGUAAAUUAAAGUUUCUAUUCACGUUUUCGAACAAACGAUGCUCUUUCAAUAUAGUCUAUUGGUGUGAAUGACAUUGACAUUCGUAUUGCGCGUUUUUUAAAAUAUGCAAAAUUAAAUGUAUAUUUUUCAAUAUUUCUGAGAGAUUAUCUUAAUAUAUCUUCGAGUUUUAAAGACUAAGAAGAUUUUUAUUUGCUAAUCAAGGUAAUCAAGUUGGAAUUUCGUUUUUAACAAUGCUACCAACCAGACGUACAAGCUUAGGCUGCAGAACUCGAAGUACAGUAAGUCAAAGAAAUAUAAGAGCAAAUCAAACUGAUGCGCAACGCGAAGCGCGAAAUGAACUUGAACUGAAUCGAUAUCAAGAUAGAAAUGUUGUGUUUAAUCCCCACAAAGCUGCAUUCAGUUAUAAUGUGGCAAUUGAUUACAGUUCAGAGCAAAUUGUUGCUAUUGGACUAAUGAACAUUAUGUGUCCACAUUGGGAUUGAAAUUCAAAAAUGAAGCCUCUGGAUUGUGUUGCGCCAGCGGCCAAGUCAAAUUGACGCCAUUGGUACCGCCACCAGAGCCACUACAUUCAUUGGUUAAUUUUUUGACUCAUAUCCAGCAUUACAAUAAUUGCUUUCAAAUGACAUCAUUUGGGGCAACAAAAGUUAUACGAGACAAUUUUAUUCCUACUUUUAGUAAGUACGCAUAAUGGCAAACAUUUUUUUUUAGUUUUAAAAAUAUGUCGAGCCAGUGAUGUGUUUAUUUUGUAAACAAUAAGUCAAAUACAUAAUAAUAGUCUAUAAUCCGAAGACUUAAUCAGCAACAUUUUAUAACAUGUUGUAUUUUAUAGUGGCAUGAGCAAGAUGUUCUUGGUAAAGCCUACUACCUAAAGCUGCCGCGGAAGGCUGUUUAAUGUCGAGGUUAAAAGUAGUUUUAAUUUGAAAUGAUGUAAAGUAUUGUGGCAGUAUUUUGUGAGCCACAUGGUGGUACAAUUUGCUAUACAAUUACCUGUAUACAUAUUUAUAUUCUUGCAGAUUCAGGGAUUCAAAUAUAUCAUCAAACAUGUUCCUUAUUGCCAGUGCCUGUUGAAGACUAUAAAUUUUUGCAAAUAUAUUUUAUGGACAAUUCAGCAAGAGAAAUCGAUCAGCGUUGCGCACACAACAACUUAGUAAAAAGAUCCAUUGUGAUGAACAACUUCAAACAUUUUUCCAUCAACACAUUGCAUUAUUCACAAAUGCAUUAGACCGCAUGCCAUCAGAUAAUCACGAAAUUGUCAUCAGAGCCGAUAAGGCGCCUGCAGGAUAAAAUGCUGGACAUUUAAAUGUGCCAACAAUUGAUAAAGAGCGCGCGUGGUAUUUAGCUCAAUGUUUACUUAAAAAUGCCAAGUUCUUCAAUAGCGAUUUGUAAAAAUAUUAGUGAAAUUAUUGAAUCCUAUGGAAUAAACACUAUUAUGAAAAUA